rnacentral:lncRNA from 1 species
AUAAAAUUUCCAACUUGACAGACAACAUUUAAACAAAUUUUGUGGCCACUUUGUGGUAGUCUCAGACUUGUCAGGCCACACAGAAAUUUCAGAAAAAAAAAAUUUAAAAAGUCAGUCAAGAUACAGACACAGAGGCCAGAGCUCAGCAGUGUUCCCCUCUAUUUCAGCCGAGGCCCUCACAGAAAAACACUUUGUAAGCUGCCGCCACUGACCCCCAGCCCAGAAUCUGCAGCGCCCCUGCCUGGANNNNNNNNNNNNNNNNNNNNNNCUGCACUCCAGCCUGGGCAACACAGCGAGACUCUGUCUCAAGAAAAGAGAAAAAAAUGUUAAUUUGCUGAGAAUGAUGGCUUCAGAAAACCAAACACCGCAUAUUCUCACUCAUAAGUGGGAGUUGAACAACGAGAACACAUGGGCACAGGGAGGGGAACAUCACACACUGGGGUGUGUUGGGGGGUGGGAGUCUAGAGGAGGGAGAGCAUUAGGAGAAAUACCUAAUGUAGAUGACGGGUUGAUGGGUGCAGAAAACCACCACGGCCUGUGUUUAACUACGUAACAAACCUGCACAUUCUGCACAUGUAUCCCAGAACUUAAAGUAUAAUUUUAAAAAAUUAAAAAAGAAAAAAACCAUUUUACCAACUUAAAAAAAAUGGACAGCAAAGC